CACUGCAGACACAACCCCAUCAGCCACAAGCAAGACGGAGGAGAAAGGACGUGAAUGAGAUUUUCGGCCUCUUCUAAAAGAAGGUAGAAGUUUGAAAAACAGAGUUCUGGGAUCCUGACGCUGUCAGGACGCUGCCAGCUGCCAGCGGAAACGGUAAAAGGCAUGAAUGACGGAGGCGGGUGCCCAGAACACUUACCAGGACGAGACAGGUGUCCACCAGAGAAAAGGUGCCUGACCGCCCGAUGCCGGCACUACAGUGGAUCACCGCAGGCCCAUGCUCAGGAUCCAGGGAGCCAGACUCUCGCACUUUAAAUAAGAAAUUGAGAAAUGAAGCUGGUGAUUCGGGGACUCCGAAAUCUGGCCAGGACUGCUUUGGGAGAAGGGGCCACAGAAGCAACAUAAAAAAUCCCUGAUUUUCCAAUGGUGACCAGCUGCAGAUUAUUACUGUACCAGCCACCUUUCAAUACAAAUGUAAAAAUUAAAGUUAGUUUUCAGGGUU